UUGGAGGGCAAGUCUGGUGCCAGCAGCCGCGGUAAUUCCAGCUCCAAUAGCGUAUAUUAAAGUUGUUGCAGUUAAAAAGCUCGUAGUUGAAUUUCGGGGUUAGUAGGUUGGUCAUGCCUCCGGUAUGUACUGGUCUCACUGAUUCCUCCUUCCUGAUGAGCCGUAAUGCCAUUAAUUUGGUGUUGCGGGGAAUUUGGACUGUUACUUUGAAAAAAUUAGAGUGUUUAAAGCAAGCUAACGCUUGAAUACAUUAGCAUGGAAUAAUGAAAUAGGACGUUCGAUCCUAUUUUGUUGGUUUCUAGGAUUGACGUAAUGAUUAAUAGGGAUAGUUGGGGGCAUUAGUAUUCAAUUGUCAGAGGUGAAAUUCUUGGAUUUAUUGAAGACUAACUACUGCGAAAGCAUUUGCCAAGGAUGUUUUCAUUAAUCAAGAACGAAAGUUAGGGGAUCGAAGACGAUCAGAUACCGUCGUAGUCUUAACCAUAAACUAUGCCGACUAGGGAUCGGAUGAUGUUAAUUUUUUAAUGACUCAUUCGGCGCCUUACGGGAAAC
rnacentral:rRNA from 1 species